UGCUGAUAUACAUUCAGCUCAACAACAUACCAGCAGUUUGUGUUCAUUUACAGCAACAGUGAUCAUUUUAAUUCUUUGAGAUGGGACUAGGCAGAGUUUUGAGUUACUUUACUCUAACAAUCUUCAUUCAAUAUUCCUGCAGUCAGACACUGAUCCAGUCUGAUUCAGUCAUCAUCAAACCUGAUCAGUCUCAUAAACUGACCUGCACAGCAUCUGGAUUGGACUUUACUAGCUAUUACAUGGCUUGGAUCAGACAGGCUCCUGGAAAAGGACUGGAAUGGGUUGCAUCUAUCUCAGAUGGCAGUGUUAGCAAAUAUUACUCCAGUGCAGUUAAAGGCCGCUUCACCAUCUCCAGAGACGACAGUAAGCUGCAGGUGUAUCUGCACAUGAACAGCGUGAGGACAGAAGACACAGCUGUGUAUUACUGCGCCCGACACACACAGUGAUACUUCUCCUUAGACAUCAGUACAAAAACACAUGCUUGCUAUAGUCACAUGACAAGCUCACAUUUUCAUAAGCAGUGUAUUCAUGGAGCUAAAAGAACCAAAAUGUUUUGACUUUUACUGCAUGUGGCUUAUUGUGAACAUUGUCUGGACAUUUAUGCUGGUAUAAGAUUACUUAGGUCAGAGUCAGUUCUGAAUAUAUAUAUAUAUAUAUGGUACAGAGGGUAAUGUUGCCACCUCACAGCUUCAGGGCCCUCGGUUUGAUCCUGGUCAUACAAAAUGCUCCACAUUAUAAUUCUUACUUUUUUUACUUAGUACUUUAGCUCUAUUUGAGUUUUUUUUAACAAGUUGCUUUAAAAUCACUUCAUUUAGAUCUGAGUAUUUUGAAAACUGGACCUUUGUGCCUCUAGAGGGCAGUCUGUGACCAGCACCAUGACUCUCAGAUUAAACUCCAGGAAGAUAAUUGCUUGUUGUUGCUUAUAUCAUUACUUUUGCAGAGUCUUGUGAGACAAAAUGUUAUUAAAUAAAUGCAAUGCUAUUCCUUUUAUCUUCAUUCUACAUUUAUUCUUUGUCCAAUCAGAAUGAGUCAGAGAUGAUGUGUGGUCUACAUUAUUUCUGUAACCAUAUUAAUUAAUCAAAAAACAUUAAUGUCUUUCUGUAUAGUUCUGUGCUAUAGAAGCAGAUAUGGUAAUGGGGCAAAAUAGCUCUUAAAGGCUUAAUUGUAAAACACAGCUCGAGUCUUGCAA